rnacentral:rRNA from 1 species
GACGUAGGGGGCGAGCGUUGUCCGGAUUUAUUGGGCGUAAAGCGUGCGUAGGCGGCUGCGCAAGUCGGUUGUGAAACCCCGGGGCUCAACCCCGGAACUGCAUCCGAUACUGCGUGGCUAGAGGUAGGUAGGGGAGAUCGGAAUUCCUGGUGUAGCGGUGGAAUGCGUAGAGAUCGGGAAGAACAUCAGUGGCGAAGGCGGCCUGCUGGGCUGUUGCUGACGCUGAGGCGCGACAGCGUGGGGAGCAAACAGG